ACUCUCCUUCGCCCUUCCACUAGCUGAGUAACGGGUAUCAGUUUUUCUAUCUCUAGUUCUCAUAUAGAUAGAGCGGUGAUAAAGCGCUUCAAAUUUUUAUUAGGCGGUUAUUCACCGGUAAAAAGUAGAUGGAUAAAACUGCAGGGAUUCAAGAAAAUACAUUCAGAAAAACGUAUUUAAUUGAAAAUAUUAAGUUUAAUAUGUGGACAAACGAAAAUAAUUAUUUUUAAGGCUGGGCAAACGAUGAAAACUAUAUUUAAAGGAACACGUCAUUUAAUGAAAAUAUUUAGUUUUAAGAGGUGGCCAAACGAAAAUCUUUUUUUAAGGGUGGACAAUCGAAAAUAUUUUAGUUUUUAUGGGUGGGCAAACGAGUUUUAAGACAUGGAAAAACCUUUAAUUCUUUAAUGGGUUAUAUUUUCCAAACUAAAACUUUUUUCAGAAAUCUAAAGAGUGGGCAAACGAUGUUUUUGCGAUAUAAAAAAAAGUCUAAAACUUCUUUUUGAUUUUCGUAAAUUUUUGAAAUUCCAUAUCUGGGCAAAGAAAUAGUUGGUGGGCAAAUGAUUCUAGUUUUUAAACUUCGAAAAUUCGAUUUUACUGACCCUAGCUUCUUUGAGCUAUUGAAGUCUCGGGAGCUACAUAUAAAAGCAAGACAGUUAAAUCUAACAAUUUUUGUAACCGCAAGGUUAUUUCAUAGUAUUGCAACCUUUCUAUCGCUUACAGAACGUGUAAAACGUGCUUUUAAUAUAGGAAAUUUUGGCAUUUAUCAUUUUUAUUUAUAAGCGAAACACAUUUACGUCACGCCUACUUCAACACCCACAGACUGGGUGCACUAUUUGUGCCAUCAAGAAAUUCACAACUCCUACAAUAACGCUCAAAAACGCACUAUACAGCUAAGACAUAUAGCUUUAAAAUCAUGUCUUUGUCAUCAGUUUCCUUCUGCACUCCCAAUAACUGUCCUCAUAGUUACGGCUUUUUUAUAUUGCUCCCAAAAACACUGGUCAUUCGGUGUGUGCGAGUGUGUGGUCUACAGUGUACACUUAAAGUUAUUUAGAUGUUGGCCAUUUUACCUUGUCGAAUGCUUCCACACGCUAUAAGAAUACCAUCGUGAGCGUAGCUUACUACGAGAAUUUUGUUGAAGUUAUUGACAAGUGAUGUUUCAAUUUCUUCCGGACAGCCUCCUGCGUGACAUUGCGGUGAAUCAUGUACAGGCCCAGUAACAGCCUCUGCCAGCACUCGAAGGUUUUCAUUUAGUUUAAGUAUUUUAUUUGUAGCACCCGCAAAUAUAACAUUAUGCAUAAAGUCGAA